rnacentral:misc_RNA from 1 species
AAAUGCGAUAAGUAAUGUGAAUUGCAGAAUUCAGUGAAUCAUCGAAUCUUUGAACGCACAUUGCGCCCGCCAGCACUCUGGCGGGCAUGCCUGUUCGAGCGUCAUUUCAACCCUCAGAACCCCUUGCGGGAUCUGGCGUUGGGGAUUGGCAUCCAGCCAGCCCCGAAAUCUAGUGGCGGUCCCUCCGCGACCUCCCCUGUGCAGUAGCGAUACCUCGCAGCGGGACAGCGGUCUGACCACGCCGUAAAACCCCCAACUUCUCAAGGUUGACCUCGAAUCAGGUAGGAAUGCCCGCUGAACUUAAGC